rnacentral:sRNA from 1 species
CUUCCUGCUUCUCAGGGGCCAGGCAGUGGAAGAGGAUACUGUUCCGUACGCCCUAGGCUAGGCAGGGACCAACCCCCACUCCCACCCUUCCGACAGGCAGGCCCAGCCUUUCUAUGCAGCGACAGAGAGCUGCAGGGCUCUCAUCAGGAGCUGUGAAGGAGGAGUGGUAGCUGGAAUUCUAAUGACCUUAGUUAGGUGUGGGACAGUAAAGAGAAGCAGAAGGCUCAGGGACAGCCUGGGAGGGGGCGUGGCCUGAGAGAGGCUGGGAGGAGAUAGCGCUGGGCCAAAGCCCUGGAUAGGGGCCCUGGACAGAGAGCUGGGUGGAGUUUAGACAUCCUGAACAUGUUUGGCACACAGUGGCCAUCAGCCACAAUGAGAACAGCAUGAAUGAAGUCAAGGGACACACCCAGAAGAACAGCAAGCUGCCUUGACCAGAACCUCGAAGGAUCGCUUUGAAGCUGACAGAUCUGAUGGUGUUCUGACACUUCUGUCUGUGUAGCAUUCCAAGCGCUAACAACCAGAGAUCAAAAUAUUGGACAACUGUGAGAGAUAUCGAAGAUACCAGCCUGUGGUAUCAAAUGCUCAGCCAAUGUUUCAUUCUUUAUGUAAAAAAUAAAUGUAUCCAUGUCAUUAGCAUAGAGAUUUCUUUCAUCGUUAAUGAAUGGUGAAAUUAUAUCUCUAUCAAGGAAUUGUUUUGAAAUAAAUUUAUUUAUGAUUGGUGAUGAGUCAGCUUGAUUUACACUCCAUCUUCUCUUCCUAUAUGCUUGAGGUCAUGUAAAGUUUUCUUGGGUGAAAUAGAACAGAAAGUGGUAAGUGACAAAUUUCUGUCUUGACACUCAUUUUCCAAGGGUCUUGCUAUGAGGCUGGUUACAUGUCACUUGUGAUAAUGGAGCAAAACUUCACCCUCAGCCAGUCCCCACUAGUGUUCCCUGCUAUGGAGUGCAUUAAUAUCCUAUUGCCUCCUCCUGCUUACUGAUCUUUGACUCCAAAUGAUGAAUCUUAGCAUUUGAGGUAUGGGAUGCCCAUCCCCUAGGAAUCUGUUCUUUUCUAGAAUGACAGUUUAUCUUAGAAGCAAUCUUGUCAUUCAAACUUUCCUUUCUGAUUUGCUCCAUGAGCUCCCACUGGCAUACUUUUGGUUUUAAGAUCUGUUGUAUUUCUUGGCAAGGGCAUCCUAACACCCAGUCACCCUAUUACAUCCCAGGUAAGAAAUAGGAGUAUGCCAAGGAGUUUGUAGAUGGUGAACUGAGCAUUAGAGUAGAGCCUUGCAGUUCAGGAGAGGCUGAAAGGGGCCAGGGGGCUAAGGAGAGGAGACCUGGGACAUGGUGCACCACAGAGCUGGAAUCAGGACAGGAACCCACUCAGAGGGCACACAGCUGGGAAGGGCCCAUGGGGCUACUUAGGAGAGGGACCAAGAAGUUGAGCAGGCCUGUGCUCUACAACCCCUCAUACAUACUGACCCACACUCAUAUGCUCACACACUAAUAUUGCCCACUCAAACACAAAAACAUUCACCGAAACACACAAGUACAAGAUGGCUUCACACUGGAGCUCACAAACACACCAGGCACUCAGAGUCACAGACACUACAUCCACUCAUAUCUAUACUCAAACAUACACACAGACACAUCGUUAGCCAAACACAGGUUCAAAACAAGCAUGCUCACGCACAUGCUCACACACACACACACACACACACACACACAGACACACAGACACGCACGCACGCAUGCACCACACUUCCAUAGCCUGCCACAUUCACCUGUCUCUUCCUUUUAUGGUACCCAAGAAGCCACAGUAGGUGGCAGGUGAUAACAAUGUUUCUGUUUACAGAUGGAGAAACUGAAAGGGAGGGGGCUUCUUGAGAGCUCAAGGAUUUGGCUUAGACCCAGAACUGGAUGUCAGGCUCCGUCCUCCUGACACCCAGCGUGACAUGGAUACACUAGGAGCACGUAGGGACACUGUUGCACCAUAACAGCCUUCUAUCACAUGAGACCUCCCAGGGACAGAAACAUUGAACCAAGGCCAGGGCCAUCGGGAAACUAGUCUGUAUCUCUCUAAGUAACAAAUUGAACCUGGGCCCUGCAGGGCCACUUUCUGCCUCACAUACAGAAGUUUGGAGUACAGAACCCUAUCCACUGUGGUGUCUGCCACCGGACCAGAAGUAGGACUAUGUGUACAGAGCAGGAAGACAGUUCUCUAAGAAUGUCCCACCGCCCACGCAUGCAUGGUGGCAGGAGAUGAAGCCAGCUGUGGCCACAGAGUUCUGGUUCAGAGCAAAUAUUGUCCUAAAGUGGUUCUGGAACGUGCCUUGUGCAUUUGUGUUUUUGUGUGUGUGUUUUGGGAGCUGUUGCAUUGACAGUGGCUGCCAGCCAGCCUCCACAGAGGAAAGUAGGGUAGCUAGACAGUCUCUUGGGGGCCCAGCACCUGCAUCUCACAUCUGUCUCUGCUUUAUAUCUAGGGCUGUCCAUCCGCCAUGAGCUUGUACUGGUGAGGCAGCACAGGUGCCCAUAUGAAGGACUCUCCUGCCAAAGGUUAGGAGGGAGGGCAGACUCAGCUAAGGAACUGAGUCCUAUUACUGGACCAGGUCCAACUGGAGAAAAUGCUCUUACCAACCUUAGAACCAGCCAUUGAAGUCAGUCACCAGAUACUUGUUCCAGAGCUUAGAGUCCUCUGCAGCACCCCAGAGGUAGCCACCAGACCUGGCAACCCCAGACAUGACCUUGGGUACCUGCCAUUCCCUGGACAGGAAGAAUUAGGCAAAUGGUGUGGAGCCAGUUCUCUGGUGUCCACCAUUCCUGCACAGCUGAAGGGCUCACUACUCUCAGCUCCUCAGAUGGACAGAUGAUGGUAAGUCACAUUUUAUCCCCAUGAGUAUGACUAUCAUCAGAGACCUCAUGGACCUGCCCAGUGUUCUCAGGAAUGUUCUAGAAGCAAAGGUAAUAAGGUGCCUAAGGUUAGGAUAGGUGGAACGAGGUAGGCUAUGAAGGAAGGAACUCAGGAAAUAUGGGGACCAGAGCCGCCACUGGAGCCAAGGACAGUUCUUGGCCCUCUGUGUGUGUUAGACACCCGGUAUCAUCAAGUCUACCCAUAUGCUGUUGUGGGGUGUCAAUUCCACCCACUCUUGCUCCCCAUAAGGCUGCCUCAAAUACUAGCUUGUUUAGAUGGCAUUUGUAGGUUGACUCCUGCCCACCUAACAGGUUCUUCCCUGGGCAUUAGAAUUCCAGGUUCUCUCUCAAGGACACCUAGUUUCUCUUCCAAAGAGAAAGCCUUCAGACAGACUUGGCUCCCCAUACAUGUCUCUCAAUGAUGUAAUCUUGCUUGCUCUUCAGUGAAUUUCGUUUGGUACCCGGCACAGGUCGGUGGGCACACAGAGGUAGUGGCCAAGUUAGAAUUUGAGGCUCUGGGGAAAGUUAGGACCCUCUGGCCCAAAAUCAUUCCUCUUAUUUUGUAUACCUCUUCUCCUUUGUGGUUUGUUUGUUUGUUUGUUUGUUUGUUUGUUUUGUGGUGAAUGAGCUGGAGAGUGUAGUAUAUGCUCAUGUGUAUGUAUGUCUGUGUGCACGCAGAUGCAUGUGUGUACAUGGGUGUGGAGGCCAGAGGUCAACAUCAGAUGCCUUCCACUAUUGUUCUCUGCCUUAUUAUUUGUUUGUUUGUUUGUUUGUUUGUUUGUUUGAGACAGGGAUGUUAGAACUUGGAGCUCACCAAUUAGCUAGGCUGGCUGAAAACUGAGCUCCUCUGUGCAGCCUCCAAUGCCCAGCUAGAGGUAACCCUCAAUUCCCAGCCUAGCCAUGUGCUUUCUAGGGCCCAAGUUGUUACUGGACUAGACUUUUGCCAAAUCUUCUGAGCUGGUACUGUGAGGCAGAGGUGAGGGAUGGACCAACAGGAAAUCAGGUGAGGCCAGCAUGAUUUUUCUAAGGGGCUGACCCAGCCAUGGCCCUUUCUACAGAUCUCUCUAGGUCUCUGCCUUCUUCUUCUGGGACCAGAAAACCCUGCAUAUCCCUCUUAACCAUUACUGAAUGUUGGGGGUGAUCUGUGAUGGGAAAGACGGAGCUUGGGACUCAGCUAAGAGAUCCAGAUACCCCCAUGUAUUCUACACAUCAUUUUGGAGAAUGUGGGGGGCCUGGAAAGAAAUAAGUGGCCCCCUGAAGCCCAAAAGUAGCCCAGAUGGACACAGGCAUGCGGGCAAGGAUAAGUGUCCCGACUGUGGGGAGGAAGUCAGGAUGAUGUGGGCAGUUGUGGUCUCUGUGGGUCUGACACAGAGGUUCAUUGCUGUAAACAUUCCUUCUCUGAAGGCGUCCUGGGAACUUCAGGUACCGCCCUCAGGGGACUGCAGAAAUGUCUCUCCCUGGCCUUCUCAAUCCCACAGCCACCUACCUCCAUGCCUUUCUCACCUGGUCACCUCAGGGCCUUGAGAAACCAAAACCUCCCCCACAAACACCUUCCACCUGAGAUCCCUGACCUACCCCAGGUCUUGGAACCACAGACCCCAAAACCUGACACUCUUGCCAUCACAGCCAUUUGGAGGCCUCCUGUAUCCCUUUUUCCAGUGUGACAAAAGCCACCAUGGGAGACAUGCCCUGACCCUCAGCCAUCACCCCAUAACCUGAUCUUGAGUUUCUCAGACCUGGGGAAGACCCUCGAAUGUGGGAAACCCCCCCUAAAGUUUCCAUAGGAGCUUUCAACCUGGAGCAGAUAAAUGCUGGAAUGAAGACCUUCCUGAAUGCUACUCAGGCUGUCACGUCUCCCUGGCUCCCCAGCCCAUUCUUGUCUAAUUCCAAAGCAGAUCCGCUGGACUUCAGAGAGACUGUGGGAUGCCUUGCCUUUAAUUACAACCAGAACUUGAAAACUCAAAGAAGGAGCCACUGGCCUUCUCCCCCACAUCACACCCCAAGCUGAGAGUUCUCGCAGAGCUCACACCGCAGGACCUAGAGCUUUCCUUCUCUUCCUUCAAGGAGGAUGUGGAGAUUUUGAAUCCAUUCUUCUGACGCCUGCUCUUUCCCUGAGACUUGCAGUAGGCUCCUCUCCUGACUGAUGUUUUAUAAUGGUAGGGCAACCGGGACUGACCAGAGGGGCAACGGUUAAAAGCACAGCUCAGAGACCUCAAGGCUUUGCCACGUAUUCUUUUUUUGACAGCCUUAGAGGUAUGAUGACUUCAACCCCUGCCCUCAUAAAGAACAACUCACUGGGGGCUGGAGAGAUGGCUCAGUGGUUAAGAGUGUUGUUGCUCUUACAGAGGACCUGGGCUCAGUUCUGUGACUCAACAACCAUCGGUAGAAGAGAGCCCUCUGAGAGCUCUGUGCCCCAAGUGUAAACACAGACACACAUGUGCAUCUAUGUGAACGAGGUACACUAACCAUCUGACUGGAGACAGACUAAGAAGAGCAGUGGAUUUGAUAGCAUGUGGCUCCCAGAGUGGGUUCCCUGAGGCUGCUGUCUGUGGGAUUGCCACAGAGAUGCCACAACCUGGGUGUUUCUGCCAUCUUUGGAGGUGGGGGCCACGGUCUAUGGAGAGCAGCUCAAAACCUCCAGGAUUCUACUCAUACCUGUCCUCGCUGUUCUGGUAGCUUUUUACUUUUGACUAUCAACCUCAUUGGAUUGAGACACCUAGGACAUCUGCGCAAACAUUUCCAGAGACAAUAAACUGGGCAGUGUGUGUAUGUGUGGAAAGGCUUGGUUAUUGGUGGCACCAUCCAUCGGCUACGGUCCCCGAUGGAAGAAAAGCAAAGGGGAGAAAGUAAGCUAAACACCAGCAUUCCCCGCUCUGCCCCCUGGUCUGCUGAUGUGAAGACAAGCAGCUCGGGUGCACACUGUCAUGGAGCUGCCUACAACCAUGACCUUCCCACCAGGAUGCCCUAUAUCCCCUAGCCUGUGGGAGGGAAAAAAUCCUUCCUCCUUUAAGUUGUUUUUAUCAGGUAUUUGGUUAUAGAAAUGAGGAGUAAUUCAUUCCUGGUUUGCUCAUACGAGAAGGGCUCGUCUCAUCUUUCAGACCCUAUGAAGCAACUCACUGGACAAUAACUCGUUGCUUUCAAGGGAAGCCAGAAGUCACCAUACAUGACAUUGUGUGCUGGCAAAUGGAUA